AAGUAAAGCAAUACCAGGGCUUAGGUUUACCCGUUUGUGUUUUGCUGUUGGUUGUUUGAGGUUGAGAAACAACAUUGCUUGGCUUUCGUUGCUCUUGUACUGGUGUGGUUUAAUUUCUUUCCUUCUGGAAUUUUGUGUUUGACUUCUGGGCUUAGCAGUCAGAGCUGUCAGUUGACUCUGAAGCUCGGCGAUCUGCUUCUUCAGCUUUUGUAUUUCAGUGGUCUGCAAUCAGGUUAUCCCAACAACCUCUGCAAAAUUGCUUGAGAAGGCAGAUGGUUUCUCACCCGAGUCUUGUAAGGUACUCAUGAACUUGGCGAAAAGCUUGUCUCCGUACUCAACGGUGCCAAAAGCUGAAUCUAACAGCUGAAUGCAAGAUGAAGGUGGAGUUUCAGGACUUAAAUGCUUGAUUACAUCGGCUGCUGGUGGCAGGAGGCUAUCAAGUAUCCUUCUAGAUCUGUGUAGGUCGGACACAUAUGGGUCUUUUAAAAUCAGUUCAACAUUAGAACGCAAUGUGUCAUAGUCCGCUUCAUUAUUGGGUCGAGGACAUUUUCCUGAAAAUGCUCUGAGCCUCAUAGGUGCACUUAACUGAGGAGUUUCUCCACUUCUCACUAUAUGUUCUCCUGUCACCUUUUGGACUUCAGGCGGGGUAAGUACAUGUGUGGUGAGUACAGUGGUUUCAUUCACAUUUGAAGAUGUUUGGUAGUUGGGUCUCAACAUAAGAUGUUUUAGGAGCUGAUGCAGGUGUCAUGGAUGUAACCUCUGAUGAUGGCUCCGACAACACCUCAGGUAAACCAGCAUCAUCUCCGGACUCAGUGGGAGUGACAAACUCAUUCAUCUGAGUGAGCAUUUCCUUGAGCACUACUUCAAAUUCUUUACCACUAAGUUUUGCAACUUCCUUCAAUUCAUCAAUGUAACUCUGGGUGGCGCUGCGCCCUACCUGCUUUAAGUAGAUGCUCGACAGUGAUUUUACAUAAGUUACAUUAGGAUCACUUGACAAUUGAUGAAUGUAAGGUAAUUUGGGCUCGAGAGAUUUUAGGGCCGAUCCACUUUGAAACGCGAGUAUUUCGUCUCGGUGAAACGGUGAAUCAGGAUUACUAAUAACAAUUUGGCGAGCAAUAGAAUCAUUUUUUCAAAACAUCAAUUAGUUCUUCAUCUAUCUCUGUUCUAGUUAAUCCACUGAUUAUCAGUGAGUUUGGAAUUUUAAUUCCCCACUCUUCAAUUAUUUCCAUGUUAUCAAUGGUAUAAUAGCUUUCACAAUGGUAUGUAUGUUCAAGAUUAACUGUUAUUAGUUCAAUAGCACCACCUCCUGGCUGGC
ensembl:lncRNA